GCCGGGCCACCCACACUCCGGGACUGGUAUGUUGCUAGCCGCUUGCAGGGCUGAGGCGAGCGCGGGUCCUCGGUUCUCUCCUAGAGUUUACACCUGCUAAGACUCCUUAAUGACUGACCAAAAGUGGGACUGGACUGUGAGCCCCUGAGAGCUUUCCUGUGGAGUUCGGAGAGGAACGGCGCCAAGGACUUUUUCUUACAAGGCGAGAUGAGGAAACUGAAGCACAGGAAGGCUUAAAAAGUGCCCCCAAACAAUGUAACUGUCAAGUGAUCUAGCUGAGAUUGGACCCCAGUAGUCUGUGUCUAGAGACUUGCACCAAAGGAAGCAGUAGUGCCUCCUAGAGCUUCUACUUCAUCUCUGAAAACCGAGGCAGGCCAUCCACUGAAAGUGCGGGGUACCAGCCCAGAAGAGCUCAGAAGAAAGCAGGCAAGGAAUGGGAGCACCCCCUGGUCUCAUUGCCCAGCACGAGGAGGCACUUCUUUCAAUGGCUUUUCCCUCCCCUGGGGUGACCUUCACAUGACUUUUUGAGGAGUAGAGGAGUCUGGGGCACCACCUGAUUUCUCUCCCAGGCCAGUCCUGCCAAGCCCAGACCAGAGCUGGCAUCUUCCAAGUAGGACGAAACUCAGGAAAAUAGCCAGGAGGGAAAGACCAGUCUAAACCCACCAAGGGGCAGAGGGUUUCUCAUCUUCAGCCUGUAGUUCCUCCUAGAAAGUGGGGAAGUGGGGAAACCAGAUUCCAACCUCAAAGUAC